GCUAAGUCCGGAUCAGCAUCGGCGGUAAUACGGGGGGGGUAGGUGUUAUUGUGAAGUAGUGGGGGUGAAUGACGGUGAGGCGGCGUGUAAAGGCAAAUGUGAAAUCCCGCGGCUCAACUGAGGAAUUGCCUUUGAAACGUUCAGGCUUUAUGGCUGGAGGUGGGGGCGGAAUUCCCAGUGUAGCGGUGAAAUGCGUAGCUAGUGGGAGGAACACCAGUGGCGAAGGCGGCCACCUGGACCGGUUCUGACGCUUAUGCGCGAAAGCGUGGGGAGCAAACAGGAUUAGAUACCCGUGUAGUC
rnacentral:rRNA from 1 species